AAAAUAAGUUGGUUCCAGUACUUGGCCAUUCAGAUGAGUUUGUUAGUUUAUUCUUAACUAUGUAAUGUCUAUAAAUCAAUCUAUACAUCUGUAUUCCUGAUCAUGUUAUGUUUUCUCAGGUUCUUCUAGUGGUUCUGCUGCAGUGGUCUCUGUAGGGCAGUCCCGUUGCUCUUGGUGUUGAUGGAGGAGGUGCAAAAUCACAAAAGGUGGAAACCAACAGGUGCAAAAUCACAAAAUUCCUAUUUUUGUUUGGCUCAUG